ACUUUUUUUGCUCUUUCUUAUCUUCUUAUUAGUUUCUGUCUCUUCUCAGGUAAUCAUUAAGCUAAUUGCUAACCCUUCACUUAAUUUCUAAUUUCUGUUGAACUCAUUUUUUUUUAUUUCUUGAUUAUAAUAAUAUUUUUUAUACAGAAGUGCAGUCAACAACUUUCAAGAUAGUAAACACAAUGUGUGACCCCGAAUACUUACUAGAGCUGACAAAGCACCCGUUAAUCCGACCGGGUUCGUUCUCAAAAGAAGUAUCAAAAUGCCUAGGGGUUGGCCGGGUCGAGUUUGGAGUCGUUUCUCUGCUCCAAUGUGUAUCGACCCAAGCCAUUAACUAAAGAGUAUUAGUUAUCAUUUAUCCAAACUACAGUGUAUUGAGUAGCUAUUACAGUCCAAUUAACAGUAAUUCAGCAAAUAAUUCAAAAGUUGGUUAUAUACGUGGAAGGCCGAGAUUAAAGUGAAGGAAGGGUCGAGAUUAAGGGAAGCCAACCUAUAUAAAGAAGAAAUUGUAGGUGUGGAAAAGGCAUUGAGAAAUCUGGUGUGAUGUUGGAAGCUAGCUGAAUCUAUUCGUUGGAGCCGUCGAUUAUAAUUUCCUAUUUCGUAUUAUUUCAUUUCUGUUAUUAGUGGACUCUUUCACUUGUUAAUUGUAAUUGUUGGUUUGAGUACCAAUUGAGGAGUUUCUGGUGUAAUUGUUGACUGUUCGGCGUUAAAUCGAUUAAUUGAGUAGUUGAAUUGUGUUCUUAACUAGUGAGUUCAUAAUAAUUGGUAUCAGAGCGACGAUUUUGAUUAUACCUGUGGAUAAUGACUGGUGCUGAUAAUACUAGAUCUAAACAGACCGAGGAAAGUAUUAGAAAAUUGGAGGGUCAGAUCCAGUCGAAUAAGCUAGAGAUUGACAUGAAAAUUGGGGCCAUAGAUCUGAAAGUGGGGGAGAUGAGUGUAGCUCAGGUGGGUAUGAAGCAAAUGAUGGAAGAAACUCAUGAUGCCCUAGUGAGAUUACUUGAGAGAAGUAAUGGCAAAACUCCUCAGGAAUAAGAGGAAAGUAGCAGGGAAAAUGGGUUGCUACCUAGACCAGCAGUUAAUGAAACUAGGGAGGGUAAUACACCUGAAGGUGGGAGAAAUUUCCAACCCAAGUUGCAAUUUCCCUUGUUCAGUGGUAGUGAGCCUAGGUCCUGGCUGAGAAUGUGUGAGAGAUACUACAAGAUUUACAGGGUAAAUGAUCCUAUGAAUAAAUUGGAGAUGGCUACAUUGCAUUUGGAAGGGGAUCUUUGAGUCCUGGUACUUCUCUUUUACUCUCACUAGGAGGCAAGUGAGAUGGGAGGAUUUCCAUGAAGAGUUGAUUGCAAGGUAUGAUGAUGAGAGUGGAGAAAGGGUUCUAAAUGAAUUCGAACUACUAGUUCAAACCACCACUGUUAAUGCAUAUCUGCAAAAAUUUGAAGACUCAACGCUCUGGUGCUAAUGAGGAACGCAAGGGUGCCAGAAGAUUUCUUACUUGAAUGUUUCACGGGGGAGGGGGUUAAAGGAAGAGAUUGGGGAAACAAUCAGCCAUGACCCUUACAAACUUUGUCAAGCUAUAGCAUAUUCUAUGAAGCAAGAAAGAAUAAUUAAUGCCAGAGAAAAGAAGAACAAGUGGAUGCACAAGGGUACCAUUGUUCCAGCAGGGACCACAUCAACAACAGUCAAGACCAACACCAUGGUUAAGAGACUAUUUGACA